AGGACGAACGCUGGCGGCGUGCUUAACACAUGCAAGUCGAGCGGAAAGGCCCUUCGGGGUACUCGAGCGGCGAACGGGUGAGUAACACGUGAGUAAUCUGCCCCUAGCUCUGGGAUAGCUCCGGGAAACCGGGAUUAAUACCGGACAUGACUCCUUUCGACAUCUGAAGGAGUGGAAAGAUUUAUCGGCUAGGGAUGAGCUCGCGGCCUAUCAGCUUGUUGGUGGAGUAACGGCCCACCAAGGCGACGACGGGUA
rnacentral:rRNA from 1 species